AUACGGAGGGUCCAAGCGUUAUCCGGAAUCAUUGGGUUUAAAGGGUGCGCAGGCGGUUUAUUAAGUCAGUGGUGAAAUCUCGGGGCUCAACUCCGAAACUGCCAUUGAUACUGAUAAACUUGAGUUCAGUUGGAGUAGGCGGAAUGUGUAGUGUAGCGGUGAAAUGCUUAGAUAUUACACAGAACACCGAUAGCGAAGGCAGCUUACUAAACUGAUACUGACGCUGAGGCACGAAAGCGUGGGGAGUGAACAGGAUUAGAAACCCUUGUAGUCC
rnacentral:rRNA from 1 species